GAGCCGGCGUCCGAGAAGACGAUCUAACUUGAUCAUUUAGAGGAAGUAUAUCCGUAACAAGGUUUCCGUAGGUGAACCUGCGGAAGGAUCAUUA
rnacentral:ncRNA from 1 species